AAACGAUGAUUUGGUUCUAUACCAGCCGUUCAUACACCAGGAACCAAGGCUACCUGAUAUCAGCGCGGUGAUGGCGGCAGCCUUGAAAGGGAUCUCAAGUUUCGUCAAGUUUCUUUUUCACUUGGGUUCGAGUUCCCAACAAGAUCAGCCAAUCUGGAAUAUCUAAAUACCUGAAUUCUCAAGGACAGAAAAAGCACAUAGGUGCAUUUGAAUGUUGCUGAUACGCGGAUUCGACUCAGAAAAAAUGUCGGGAGAGCAGCAGCUGAUUGGCUCGUUCUCGAGCUUUUCACAUCUACAGUCACCUGGGCAGCUAGAGGUUUCGUCA
rnacentral:sRNA from 2 species